rnacentral:rRNA from 1 species
UACGGAGGGGGCUAGCGUUGUUCGGAAUUACUGGGCGUAAAGGGCGGGUAGGCGGCCACCGCAAGUCAGUUGUGAAAUCUCCGGGCUUAACCCGGAAAGGUCAACUGAUACUGCGGGGCUAGAGUGCAGAAGGGGCAACUGGAAUUCUCGGUGUAGCGGUGAAAUGCGUAGAGAUGUGGAGGAACACCAGUGGCGAAGGCGACUCUUUGGCCUGUAACUGACGCUGAGGCGCGAAAGCGUGGGGAGCAAACAGG